UACGGAGGGUGCGAGCGUUGUCCGGAAUCACUGGGCGUAAAGGGCGCGUAGGUGGUCCCGUUAAGUGGCUGGUGAAAUCCCGCGGGCUCAACCUGCGGGGCUGCCGGUCAUAACUGGCGAGCUGGAGCACGGUAGAGGCGGAUGGAAUUCCCGGUGUAGCGGUGAAAAUGCGCAGAUAUCAGGAGGAACGACCGGCUGGCGGAAAGGGCGGGGUCUCCUGGGGCCGAUACUGACGCUGAGGACGAAAGCGUGGGGAGCGA
rnacentral:rRNA from 1 species